CACGUAGGGUGCGAGCGUUGUCCGGAAUUAUUGGGCGUAAAGAGCUCGUAGGCGGUGUGUCGCGUCGGCCGUGAAAACCUGCAGCUUAACUGUGGGCGUGCGGUCGAUACGGGCAUCACUGGAGUUCGGCAGGGGAGACUGGAAUUCCUGGUGUAGCGGUGAAAUGCGCAGAUAUCAGGAGGAACACCGGUGGCGAAGGCGGGUCUCUGGGCCGAUACUGACACUGAGGAGCGAAAGCGUGGGGAGCGAACAGG
rnacentral:rRNA from 1 species